GGCAGCGAGGGUUCUGUUGGUGUAGUUGGUUAUCACGCAAGUCUAACACACUUGAGGUCUCGAGUUCGAGCACGGACGAAUAUGUCG